CCAAUAGCGUAUAUUAAUGUUGUUGCAGUUAAAAAGCUCGUAGUUGGAUUUCUGAUGAGAGCCCUGGUCACUUUAACGAGUGUACUGAUGUGGCGUCUUGUCGUUUCAUGGGGAUGCUUGCUGGUAUUAAGUUAUCGGCUUGUGGAUCCAUGUCGUUUACUGUGAAAAAAUUAGAGUGUUCAAAGCAGGCCAUCGCUGUGAAUACAUUAGCAUGGAAUAAUAAGAUAGGACUGUGGUGCUAUUUUGUUGGUUUGCGUACUACGGUAAUGAUUAAUAGGGAUAGUUGGGGGUAUUCAUAUUCAAUUGUCAGAGGUGAAAUUCUUGGAUUUAUGGAAGAUGAACUACUGCGAAAGCAUUUACCAAGGAUGUUUUCAUUAA
rnacentral:rRNA from 1 species